rnacentral:lncRNA from 1 species
AAAAGCAUAUCAUGGGCUUCAUCACCAACUGUUCCACAUACAGGUGAAUUAAGCUGACCAUUUGAAAGCAUCAUGUCAAGCGGGGCUUCUUGAACAACAACUUCUACAAUACCAUCUGCUCUUGAUUCGUUCUGAGGUGUUGGAUUUUCUGAGGAAGCAUGAACAACAACUUCCACAAUACCAUCUGCUCUUGAUUCGUUCUGAGGUGUUGGAUUUUCUGAGGAAGCAUGAUGAACCCCAAGCCCCUUCAUCGGCACUGUACAAGAAUCCACUAUCCUUCGUGAAAUCGCUUGAAAGUUAUUUUUUCUAGAUCGUGGAGAACAGGAUUUUGGAGAAAAAUUGCUUGCUAGUG